rfam:Anas platyrhynchos breed Pekin duck contig24868, whole genome shotgun sequence.
UGGGGCAUGAACCUGGCAUACAAUGUAGAUUUCUGUGUUUGUUAAGCAACAGCUACAUUGUCUGCUGGGUUUCCAGCUGCCUGG